GCAGGCGCCCCGGUGUUCGGGGGCGCUUCCUCGGCGUCCUAGGCAGAGGGCUGAUCGGCUCAGGCGGCGGAGAUGGCCGCGGCGGAGAUCUCAAUGACCGGCCGGCCUGGCUUGCCACCGAUGCGGAUGUCACUGGCUGCGGCAGAGGUUGCUCGUCGGUCUGCGUGGCAGUAGACCUGGUGGACACUCGUCGCCUCCGAGGAUCACUGGGAGCUUUCUCCGGGCUGCCCUCCAGCAGCGUCAGAUGCCAAGGGAGAAAGGUGAUCCCUGCUAAGGUGUCCAGUGGUUUCUCCGUAACUGGGAGGUCCGUCGGCUGUGCUGGUUGUCGUCGCUGCGGCUGAUUUUCACCGGCGGCCAUCUCACGGUUUCACCAUUUGUUAUUUUCACUGCGAUCAUCUAGCGAAAGAAAUGAUUAGUGACAUCACUAGAAGUGGUGAGACCUAUUCACAUGAAAAUAUUCCAAAAAUCAUACCGAAGACAACUUCACGAUUCUAAACCGAUUAAUACCUAUGAAUAAAAACACCAUUAGUGGCAAUAAGAAAGAUAGUUACUAAUAAUUUUUAAAAAUGAAUGUUACAUAUAAGCAAAGAGAAAUUUUAUUAACGUAUAUGGAAUCCCAUCGUGAAUUAUUACAAGGACGAUUAAGCAGGAAAUCGGAAAG